UUCAUGUACCACCAAUAGUACAAGGAUCUACUGGAAAGAUGAAAACAGCAAUGAUGAUGGGGCUCCAGAUCCGAGAACAGUCCAGUUCAAACCAAACAGGAAACCAGGCAUACAAUUUGGAAGAUUGUCUAGACACACAUUGAAGUUAUUGACCUCUCCUGUUGAUUUCUUUAAAUUGAUUUUAACUGGUACAUUGCUAACAUCUCUCUGCUUGUCUACAAAUCAACAUGCUGCAUACCAUAUCAGGAAUGGUAGAUUUCAGUCAUAUGCUGGACCUACUGGAACUUGGGAAGUUGUUACAGAGCAGGAAAUGGAAAAGUUCAUUGGUAUAUUGAUAUACAUGUCCUUUAUGAAACUCAGUACUGUUGACCGCUACUGGAGUAGAGAUGUCCUGUACAGAUUCAACCCUGUUCCAUUGUGUAUGUCAUGCUUAAGAUUUAAGGCCAUCCUUUCAUUUCUACAGAUCACACCUUUACCUGAUGUUGACAAAGAUAAUAAACUAACAAGAGUAGAACCAAUCAUUGAACAUGUAAGAAAUAUUUCAAGGGAACUUUUUCAACCUUAUGAAAAGAUUGCUGUUGAUGAAAGAAUUGUUAGGUCAAAACAUAAAUGGAGUGGAAUAAGGCAAUUCAUGAAAGAUAAACCUGUAAAAUUUGGGAUUAAGCUUUGGGUAUUAGCUGAUACCAUUACUGGCUAUACAUGUGAUUUUUAUGUUUAUUAAGGAAAAAAAAAACUCAAAUAACUAAUUUAUCAAAAGGUCUGGCAUAUAGUGUAGUUAUGAAUUUAAUGCCAAGUUAUUGUAAUCAAG